UGAAAAGACGAGGUGCAAAUUGCGCAAAUUGAGCCAAGUAUUCAACCGGGUAAUUGCUUGCAGUUUCAUCAGCUGCAGCUGAGUGAUCCGAAUGUCUGUUUUGAAACCGUAAAUGGACACUGUUUAGCAUGCAGUGAUGAUAGAGGCCAAAAUAAAGGUGAAAACAACAAUGCAUGAAUUUCUUCUCCAAUAUAAGUAAUAUCAUACGAGUCUAAACAGACAGGGUCAGCGCUCUCAUCACCACCUGCAUUUGAUGGCCUACUUUACAAAAUAACAAAACAAAAACAAAACAUAAAAAAGCUGUGUGCUGCCACCAUGUGGCCAACUGAACUUUCAUAUUUCAUAAAGGACAACAGGAACACAGAUGCUUUCCUAUACAAAUCUUUGACUUUAUCAUGACCUUGAAAUCAAUUUUCAAACUCCCUUAUAUUUCCAGGAUUUUCAUGAUUGCGGGAACCAAGGCAAUAACUAUAAACAAAUACAGUAAAGAUUACUGAACAAACAGAGACCUAAUAAUACUUAAAUAUACCCAUAUUCCAAUAAAAACCUAUGACUAAUGUUGUAAGACUCUUCAACAGACUUCAAUUCCAGACUUAAAGUUUUGCGUUGGUAUUUAAUGCAUGUGAGACUUGAGAGAUCCGCAAUGUUCCAGAAGAGGGCAGUGUUGGCCAGAGCAUGAACAGUUAAAACCACUGGUUUAAUAGACCUGGUCAAUAAUUAGAGCAAUAACUAGCUAAUUUUUAUUAAUUCACAUGCAAAAUCUAAUAUUGACCAGUAUAACAGAGUUAGUAACAAUUACUCCACUACUUGAUUAACACAAGCAGACGAAAAAAAAAAAAAAAAAAACUUAAUACAUUAAGUAUUGCAGAAUAUAAUAUUUAAAUAAUAAAUGUUUUGCACUAUAGUGAUAUACAUUCAGAGUUGGUGUGAUUAGAUAAAUAGUCUGUUACUAUACAUGAUGUUUUUGUGUUGUGUGUUUUUUUAUAUAUAUAUUUAGAUUUAGGCCAUUAUUGGUGAUAACUGAGUGAUGACUGUCUGCAUUGUAUUAUACUUUAAAAAGUAAGACAUCUCAGUAUAAAACCAACAGUAAACAUGCUUAAAAGCAAUAAGCCUGCAUUGCGGUAUAUUCUUUGGCAUAUGGCAAAAAAUGCAGCAGUGUAGUAGAUGUAGAUUGCAUUGCAUUCAUCCUAAAUCACCUCUGCUCCUUCCGUCUGUGGGCAUUCUUUCAGCUCUUUUCAGAACAUGAACCUCCUCACAGUAUGACGCAGCUCCAUCCAGAAGACUCCUGUGGACUGCAUUAACAAUCAGGAGCUUGACUGGGCUUCAGCCUCUUGGUGGCGCUGUAGCCGCUUUCCCAAGUUGAAGGGAUGGAACUGCUGGUGUGACCCUCUCUGUGUUCCUGAACCUCUUCAUCCAACAUCUGCAUUAGAGAAACCACAGAUGUUUCUGGAGUGUUCUGACUGUCUGGAUCCGAUCUGAU